AUUGAACGCUGGCGGCAGGCCUAACACAUGCAAGUCGAGCGAGUGGCGGACGGGUGAGUAAUGUCUGGGAAACUGCCUGAUGGAGGGGGAUAACUACUGGAAACGGUAGCUAAUACCGCAUACCAUCAGAUGUGCCCAGAUGGGAUUAGCUAGUUGGUGGGGUAAUGGCUCACCUCGGCGACGAUCCCUAGCUGGUCCGAGAGGAUGACCAGCCAAACUGGAACUGAGACACGGGCCAGACUCCUACGGGAGGCAGCAGUGGGGAAUAUUGCACAAUGGGCGAAAGCCUGAUGCAGCCAUGCCGCGUGUAUGAAGAAGGCCUUCGGGUUGUAAAGCACUUUCAGCGGGGAGGCGUUACUCGCAGAAGAAGCACCGGCUAACUCCGUGCCAGCAGCCGCGGUAAUAC
rnacentral:rRNA from 1 species